rnacentral:tRNA from 1 species
UCCAAGAGCCUGAUUAAAGGUCUAUCGUGAUAGGAUAAAAUCUAGAUCCACAGAUCUACCUUCAUUACA